UACGUAGGGACCGAGCGUUGUCCGGAAUCAUUGGGCGUAAAGAGCGUGUAGGCGGCCACUUAAGUCCUGCGUGAAAUCUUGCGGCUCAACCGCAAGCGGUCGUGGGAAACUGGGUGGCUAGAGUGCGGGAGAGGAGAGUGGGAAUUCCUGGUGUAGCGGUGGAAUGCGCAGAUAUCAGGAAGAACACCCGUGGCGAAGGCGGCUCUCUGGAACGCAACUGACGCUGAGACGCGAAAGCGUGGGGAGCAAACAGG
rnacentral:rRNA from 1 species